AAUAAAAAAUGUCUCACAUGGCUCCAGGGGGUGAACAAAGGCCUCCAGUAGUGAAUCGAUGCGUUUUUAUAAGAAAAAUAUCCAGAUUCAAAACGUAAUAAUCACUUAUUAUUGGUGUGUGUGUGUUCACUGCUGUGUGUGUGCACUUUUGGAUGGGUUAAACGCAGAACACGAAUUCCGAGUAUGGGUCACCAUACUUGGCUGUAUGUCAAUUCACUUUCACUGUCACUAAUAUAACUCCGAUUGGAUUCGUCUGAAGGAAGAAAGUCAUAUGCACCUAGGAUUGCCUUGAGGGUGAGUAAUUCAUGGGCUAAUUUUCACAACGAGCUAUAAUUUUUGUGUGCCAAUACACCCGUACUAUUUAUGGAAAGUACCUGUGCAAGAAUUUAACUUGCAAUGUUUCAGUCUUCUGUCAAGAUCUUACACAACUACACCACCAUACUAACAUUUAAUUUUCUCAGUUUCUCUAUUUCAGCCUAUGUGAGUGCCCAUUGAUUGACCAGUUCUGAACCUUUAAUGCAACAACAAACACUAAAUAUGACAACAACCUUGGACUCCUGAUAGAUAAAGCAAGACACUAAACAUGAUCAACUUCUGUUCCAUCUGUUAUUAUUUAUGUAUUCAAUUCAUACAUGCAGUCCAUAUACAAAGUUGCUGAAUAUGUAAGCAGUUUAGCAUUUUAUUUAACUAAGAGAGAUGAAAUCUUGAAAAAAUAAACCAUAUGGUAGAUAUUUACAAAACACUACUAAAUAAAUUUUUUUUAAAAUUAUAUAAAAUAUUUUAAUUAAAAAACAUAUUAUCCAUCUCUUUUUUUAAUUUUGAUAAACAUCUUGCAGAUUCUGCACAUGAAUAACUGCGUAAAUGGAGUCAUGAGAGUUCAGUAAAGCAGCAUUACUUAGAAUUAUAAUUAGUUUGACUUCCCAUGAAUAUUAGUGACAGAAUGUGAAAUAUGAACCAGCAGUCAAGCCUUUACUUGACUGGAAUAAAAUCAAUUAUCUGAACACUUUGUUCCGUUCGGUAAAAACUCAAAUGCUGCAUGUUUUCUCCAGAAAUUAACCUUCAUUAUUGUUCAUUUACAAUCAAUAGAGCUUUUCUCUAGAACAGUUUCCUCUGCAAAAACAUGCUGAGCAUUUGAAUACCAAUGGUAAGCAUGACUGUGCCAUCAUAAAGGUUAUGCUUCUAUCCUAUAAUACUCAAAUACCCUUGACAAGAAAGUUUCUGUACAGUAUAUAAAUGUCAAUGUUCUAAACGGAGCCACUGCUCCUCCACUUGGAUAUAGAUGUUUUGAUGUUCACCAUGAUCACUAUGGUUUGAUGCUGGUCUAGAGGUCUUGGGACCACAGCUUAGUUGAAAUUCCCUCUGAAUCAAAAUAUUACUACUGAUAGACCCUCUGUUUUCAUGAAAUUCACAAACACAUGAAAGCAAAGGCCACAAGGCCAGAUCAACAACACCAACUGGGCCAUACGUUCCACAAGAAACACACAUGGGCUCUGGGCACUUCACCAGGCUUCAAGGUCAUGACUACAGAAAGCACAAAAAUUAGUAAUGCACUGAAAUUUCGUUAAGGGAAAAUAUUUGGCCAGUAUUAAUGCCAAUAUUGACAAUAUUGCAAAUGACAAUAAUGUUUUCCUAUUUUUUUUUUUUUUUUUUGAUCUUCAUUUUAAUUAACCAAGAUCUUAGAGUGUAUUAAUAGAACGAAUCAUUUUAUGGUUAAGAAUAAAUUAUAUUGUUAUAUGUAUGAUGUUAAGACAGUAGAUCAGAACUAUGCACAUUAUUGAUGUUGCACAUGCAUCACUGCCUGUGUAUUACUUUUAUUUUUAAAAUUAAGAUUUAUGCAUCAUAACAACAGUAUGUUGAGAUUAAAAAGAAAUCACAAUUCAUUAUUUGUUUGCAUGUGUAGUAAAUUAUUUUAAUGGAUUCGUCUUACAUUUUAAUUUUAUAAGUCAGAUGGACAUUUACCUGAACUUUAGCUACAAGUUUAUUAAAAAUUCACAUUUUAAUUUUACUGUCAGAUGGACAAAUAAACAUUUACUUGAACUUUAGCUACUAGAUUACUAAAACUAAAUGUUUUAAUUUUACUGUGAGAUGGACAAUUAAGAAUCAAAUCACUGAGUUUCUGAAAUUAGUGAGGGUUUUCUAACAAAGUGUUGAUGUAAUGUGUAAGCAACAUUUCCAACAUGACAAGAAUAGCAAUGUAGAGUGAGACAUUGAAGAUUAUUUACAAGGCAUUACUUUAAUAAUUAAAUGGAAAGGAAUUUUUUUUAGUGCUGUCAAAUGAUUAAUCAUGAUUAUUCACAUUGAAAAUAAAUGUUUUUGUUUGCUAAAUCUGUUUUGCCAAUAAUAUAAUAUCAUUGCAGUAUCAACUGAGGAAGCUCUUGCUUUCAUUUCAGGGUGCUUACAUUUAAAAAUCACUUUGUAAUGUUUUUCUUUACCCAUGUUUCCAUUUUUCACACAUUAAUUGGUGGACCCCCUGCAGUACAGCUGCCGACCCCCAGUUGAAGACCCUUGCCAUAAAGGAUCUUUUUUUGGACUGGAACUGGUAUUUUGAGCAUUGCAUGUUACAGUACGUGUUCAGUUUUAUUUCAUUAAGCAUCAUUAUUAAUGAAGCAUAAGAAGCAGUUAUUUUAUUUUUAAGAGAGUCUGUGGGCAGUAGUAAACACCUGCACACAUGUGGAAACACUUUCAGCUGUUGGUGACCUACUAAAGCACUACCCUGCAGCCCCAAUAAUACUAGAGGCAGCAUCACAUGAGCAUAAAGACACA
rnacentral:lncRNA from 1 species